rnacentral:lncRNA from 1 species
CAUAGCCCACUAAUCUAUAAAAAAAAUAAAGGCACAUACACAAGAUAGAAAGUCGAAAGGCUGGGAAUGUAUUGAAUAAAGAAGGUGAAGCAGAGAUUUUUGAGUCAGUAUCCUCUCCAAAGUCAUAGUAUUACUGCAUAGAAUUUUUCUUUUUGUGGGAUCCACGAUACGCAAGGAGGCACAACAAAAUUUUUUAGGAUUUUAUUUUAUGGUAGAA